rnacentral:rRNA from 6 species
CCCAGGUCAGGCGGGGCUACCCGCUGAAUUUAAGCAUAUCAAUAAGCGGAGGAAAAGAAACUACAAG